rnacentral:lncRNA from 1 species
GCUGCAUCCUUCUGACUCCUUACUUUCUAGCCUCCUGGUAGAAUAAGAAAGCUUAAGGGUAGCUUCUGUUUAUGCCACCGUUCCGAUCUCAAGCCUGCCUUCAUCUCCUCCUAAACUCUUACAUGAAUGCUUUCUCUUUCUCACGUAGGGGGAAACUGAUGCCUAACCCACUUUCAUGUGGCGCCGACUUCUUUGGGUUUUCUCAUCCAACCAUCCACAACCUGAUUCAGAGUUGUCCAGAAGCUCAGAACUGCGUCAAUUACCAGUGGGUGAAAUUCGAUGCGUGCAAACCCAGGAAGGGGCAGCUCUCUCAGGAGCUGCCAGAGAAUGAUGCAGCUAUGAGCCUUGAAGCCUUUCC